AGGCAUUUUCCGGGUAGAGGGCGGUGUUGAGUUGACGCAAAUUGUGCAUUUCAUUUCGAGAUCAUAAAUGGGGAAAUUCUGCACAUGCUGAAAUAAAUACCGACUCAUCUCGCGGAAAAAAUUGUGCAAAACGGGACCUUUAUGUAGUCAAGCGUCCCUAAAUGCAGCCAUAAAAACCACAAGCACCAGAAUCCUUUGCGGUUCAGGAAGCGAGAAGUGCAUCGAGACAGCUGCAUCGGUCCAUGCGGAGGAUUUCUUGAAGCACGUAGACUUCAGGGAGAAAAUGUCAGCAAGAAGUCCAACAACAAACAGUAUGGACCACACAGAAAUCUGAUCUCCCCAUCAGAGUCCAACAGGGAUUACAUGAAGAAAAAAAAAA